AACGAACGCGGGCGGCAUGCCUAACACAUGCAAGUCGAACGAGACCUUCGGGUCUAGUGGCGCACGGGUGCGUAACGCGUGGGAACCUGCCCUUAGGUUCGGAAUAACUCCCCGAAAGGGGUGCUAAUACCGGAUAAUGUCUUCGGACCAAAGAUUUAUCGCCUUUGGAUGGGCCUGCGUUGGAUUAGCUAGUUGGUAGGGUAAAAGCCUACCAAGGCGACGAUCCAUAGCUGGUCUGAGAGGAUGAUCAGCCACACUGGGACUGAGACACGGCCCAGACUCCUACGGAAGGCAGCAGUGGGGAAUAUUGGACAAUGGGCGGAAGCCUGAUCCAGCAAUGCCGCGUGAAUGAUGAAGGCCUUAGGGUUGUAAAGCUCUUUUACCCGGGAUGAUAAUGACAGUACCGGGAGAAUAAGCUCCGGCUAACUCCGUG
rnacentral:rRNA from 1 species